CACAUGCAGGUCGAGGGGCAGCAUUUUACUUUGCUUGCAAACUAAAGAUGGCGACCGGCGCACGGGUGAGUAACACGUAUCCAACCUGCCGAUAACUCGGGGAUAGCCUUUCGAAAGAAAGAUUAAUAUCCGAUAGUAUAUUAAAACCGCAUGGUUUUACUAUUAAAGAAUUUCGGUUAUCGAUGGGGAUGCGUUCCAUUAGUUUGUUGGCGGGGUGACGGCCCACCAAGACUACGAUGGAUAGGGGUUCUGAGAGGAAGGUCCCCCACAUUGGAACUGAGACACGGUCCAAACUCCUACGGGAGGCAGCAGUGAGGAAUAUUGGUCAAUGGACGAGAGUCUGAACCAGCCAAGUAGCGUGAAGGAUGACUGCCCUAUGGGUUGUAAACUUCUUUUAUAUGGGAAUAAAGUAUUCCACGUGUGGGAUUUUGUAUGUACCAUAUGAAUAAGGAUCGGCUAACUCCGUGCCAGCAGCCGCGGUAAUACGGAGGAUCCGAGCGUUAUCCGGAUUUAUUGGGUUUAAAGGGAGCGUAGGUGGAUUGUUAAGUCAGUUGUGAAAGUUUGCGGCUCAACCGUAAAAUUGCAGUUGAAACUGGCAGUCUUGAGUACAGUAGAGGUGGGCGGAAUUCGUGGUGUAGCGGUGAAAUGCUUAGAUAUCACGAAGAACUCCGAUUGCGAAGGCAGCUCACUAGACUGCAACUGACACUGAUGCUCGAAAGUGUGGGUAUCAAACAGGAUUAGAUACCCUGGUAGUCCACACAGUAAACGAUGAAUACUCGCUGUUUGCGAUAUACAGUAAGCGGCCAAGCGAAAGCAUUAAGUAUUCCAACUGGGGAGUACGCCGGCAACGGUGAAACUCAAAGGAAUUGACGGGGGCCCGCACAAGCGGAGGAACAUGUGGUUUAAUUCGAUGAUACGCGAGGAACCUUACCCGGGCUUAAAUUGCAUUUGAAUAAUCUGGAAACAGGUUAGCCGCAAGGCAAAUGUGAAGGUGCUGCAUGGUUGUCGUCAGCUCGUGCCGUGAGGUGUCGGCUUAAGUGCCAUAACGAGCGCAACCCUUAUCUUUAGUUACUAACAGGUCAUGCUGAGGACUCUAGAGAGACUGCCGUCGUAAGAUGUGAGGAAGGUGGGGAUGACGUCAAAUCAGCACGGCCCUUACGUCCGGGGCUACACACGUGUUACAAUGGGGGGUACAGAAGGCAGCUACACGGCGACGUGAUGCUAAUCCCGAAAGCCUCUCUCAGUUCGGAUUGGAGUCUGCAACCCGACUCCAUGAAGCUGGAUUCGCUAGUAAUCGCGCAUCAGCCACGGCGCGGUGAAUACGUUCCCGGGCCUUGUACACACCGCCCGUCAAGCCAUGAAAGCCGGGGGUACCUGAAGUGCGUAACGGCAAGGAGCGCCCUAGGGUAAAACUGGUGAUUGGGCC
rnacentral:rRNA from 1 species